CACGUAGGGGCGAGCGUUGUCCGGAUUUAUUGGGCGUAAAGAGCUCGUAGGCGGCUCAGUAAGUCGGGUGUGAAACCUCCAGGCUCAACCUGGAGACGCCACCUGAUACUGCUGUGGCUGGAGUCCGGUAGGGGAGCGUGGAAUUCCUGGUGUAGCGGUGAAAUGCGCAGAUAUCAAGAGGAACACCUGAGGUGAAGACGGGUUGCUGGGCCGACACUGACGCUGAAGCGCGAAAGCCAGGGAGCAAACGGG
rnacentral:rRNA from 1 species